rnacentral:rRNA from 1 species
UAGGCGGGCGAGUGUGUUUAAUGUUAAAUCUUAAAGCUCAACUUUGAAAUUGCGUUAAAAACUGCUUGUCUUGAGUAUGGUAGGGGUAAAGGGAAUUCCCAGUGUAGCGGUGAAAUGCGUAGAUAUUGGGAAGAACACUAAACAGCGAAGGCACUUUACUAGGCUAAUACUGACGCUGAGAAACGAAAGGUAAGGUAGCGAAACGGAUUAGAUACCCGUGUAGUCUUACCCGUAAACUAUGGACACUAAACGGUAAAUUUUUAAUUUACUGUUAAAGCUAACGCGUUAAGUGUCCCGCCUGGGGAGUAUGCUUGCAAAAGUGAAACUCAAAGGAAUUGACGGGGGCCCGCACAAGCGGUGGAGCAUGUGGUUUAAUUCGACGGUACACGAAGAACCUUACCAGGAUUUGACAUGCUAGAUAGUUGCUUGAAAGAGUAACGUGCCGUAAGGAAUCUAGACACAGGUGGUGCAUGGCUGUCGUCAGUUCGUGUUGUGAAAUGUUGGGUUAAGUCCCGCAACGAACGCAACCCUUGUCUUUAGUUAUUUUCUAAAGAGACUGCCUGUAAUAAACAGGAGGAAGGUAAGGAUGAGGUCAAGUCAUCAUGCCCCUUAUGUCCUGGGCUACACACGUGCUACAAUGGGAAAGACAAUGAGCUGCAAAUCUGUAAAUUUAAGCAAAUCUCUUAAACUUUCUCGUAGUUCGGAUUGUGGGCUGCAACUCGCCCACAUGAAGUUGGAAUCGCUAGUAAUCGCCAGUCAGCUAUAUGGCGGUGAAUCCGUUCCCGGGCCU